AACGACCCUCGGAGUAGUGGCGGACGGGUGAGUAACGCGUGAGAUCUGCCCUCAGGAGGGGGAUAACGGUUGGAAACGACCGCUAAUACCCCAUAUGCCUAUUGGUGAAAUGAAUUUCGCCUGAGGAUGAGCUCGCGCUCUGAUUAGCUAGUUGGUGAGGUAAUGGCUCACCAAGGCUUCGAUCAGUAGCUGGUCUGAGAGGAUGAUCAGCCACACUGGGACUGAGACACGGCCCAGACUCCUACGGGAGGCAGCAGUGGGGAAUUUUCCGCAAUGGGCGAAAGCCUGACGGAGCAACGCCGCGUGAGGGACGAAGGCCUCUGGGCUGUAAACCUCUUUUCUCAAGGAAGAAGAUAUGACGGUACUUGAGGAAUAAGCAUCGGCUAACUCUGUGCCAGCAGCCGCGGCUGAGACAGAGGAUGCAAGUGUCAUUCGGAUUGAUCGGGCGUAAAGCGUCUGA
rnacentral:rRNA from 1 species